UUUGCUUCGGCAGUAUAUGUAUAAAAUUGGAUCGAAACAUAGAAGACUAUCAGGGGUUCUGCAGAAGGAUGACACACAAAAUCAUGAAGCAUUCGACAUUUUG